rnacentral:lncRNA from 1 species
CUUCAAUUGCACAGUAUUGUGCAAUAGCAAGUAUUUUCAAUUGCACAGUAUUGCGCAAUAGCAAGAAAUAUCUAAUUGCACAAUAUUGUGCAAUAGCAAGAAAUUUUCAAUUGGGGUUAUCUUUCUUUGUCCAGAAUAGUAGUUGAAUCAACUUAAAUCAUUGUUUUAUACAAUAUACAAUGUAUAUUCACUUUUACUACCAACUGAUAAAUUAAAACAAUCUUUACCAUUCAGUGAUAACAAGCACUUUUUUUACAUUUUAAUAUUUUAUGAUGUAUUUAAGUGAGUAGUUAUUGUUGCAAACUCCAUUAGAAAUUUGAAUUGAUAUCAGUUUUGGAAAAAGGGAAACAGGGAUGUGAAAAAAAGGGGGGGUUUAAAUUUUUUCUCAUUUCAGAUUUCAUAAAUAAAAAGAAAAUUUCUUCAAACAUUUUUUGAGAGGAUUAAUAUUCAACAGCAUAGUGAAUUGCUCAAAGGCAAAAAAAAAAUUUUUAAGUUCAUAAGACCACAUUCAUUCUGUGUCAGAAACCUAUGCUGUGUCAACUAUUUAAUCACAAUCCAAAUUUCGAGCUGAAUCCAUCUUGAAUGUUGUGUCCAUACUUGCCCCAACUGUUCAGGGUUCAACCUUUGCGGUCGUAUAAAGCUGCGCCUUGCGGAGCAUCUGGUUACUAUUUGCUUUUAAUGUUAAAAUGUCUACCUAAUAAAAAUAGACAUUGUAUAAUAAUUUAUGCUCUCAAAUUUAAGCAGAGGGCUUUGUAUAUUUUUUUAAUUUCUGGGGUAUUCUCAACGUAGAAAUUGAUAGUAAAGGUUAUACAUUUAUAGGUUUUUGGUGGUUUUUUUUGUAAAAUUCUUUACAGUUAAUAACAAAUCUUCUUUAAUCGGAAAAUCCUUGACUUGACCCUGUUAUACCUUAAUUUGAGUUAAAGGAUAUUUAACAAAACUUAGAAUAGAAUUGAGAAUGGAAAUGGGGAAUUUGUCAAAAGGCAGCAACCUGACCAAAGAGCAAAAACAUGAAUCCAAUUUUUUUUCCAAUGCUCAAUGCUUUAUAUAUAUGACCACUGUCAUCAUUUACUUUGUUAUUUUGUUUUAAGGAUGUAAAUCAUAUGAAAAUUUAAACAUAAAACUUACCACAUGUCAAUCGUUUCAUUCAACAAGACAAUUAGUUCCCCUGGUGGUAUUUUUGUAUGACUAGUGCUACUUUACACAAAAAAACAGUUCACAUAUUAAAUAAUUUGUUUGUUAAUUGUUAAUUAUUUUUUUAAUACCUCUGAUGCAUAUCAUUUCCACUGCCAGAUAAAUAUUCCAUUUUUUUUUAAGAACCAGUCUACACUUGGGAUUGGUAAACAUUUCAUGUCAAAAGUAUGUAAUAAAAUGAGAAUGGAAAUGGGGAAUGUCAAAGAAUAAUUAUAAUGUAAUUAGUAUUUUCAUGCCUUUGCUGAAUGUAAUGGUGUAGAUUUAAUGCCCCAAUAAUGCCCAUAUAACGUAAUAUAAAGUCAUCUAUAACCAUCUGCUUUGACAAAAGAUAGGGAGGAGAAUCAAGAGUAUUCAAGGAAAUCAUUGUUUUCAUGUGUUGAAAUGGAAAUUGCUCAUGCAGAACUUAGCAAAUCAGUGGUAUAGCUACCAGAAUCAAUUGGUUUUUACUGAGCAGUAUUGAUUUUUAAAGAAUUACUUAUAUUCAUUUGAAAUUAAUAUAUAUUUAUGUUUUAUUGUAUUAAUUAUUUUGAAAAUAACAUGACAACCAAAACUAUAAAUAAGUAUACUGUGCAGCUAUAUUAUUAUUUAACACAUGUGUUGAGCCAUCAUUAAAGAAAAACAUGUUCGUAAGAAGU